rnacentral:lncRNA from 1 species
AUGAGAGCUAAUAUAGUUGGAAUUUUUUUGUAAAUAUAUCAUUUUUCAGGGGUAUUUUAAAAAAAUAUAGAAAUAGUUUUCGGGGCGAAUUCGGGGCGAAUUUAGGGCGGGGCGGAUCAAAAAUUUUCCCGUUUUCUGCCCCGAAUCCGCCUCGGAUCAUAAAAACUGCCUCGUUUCCUGCCCCGAAUCCGUUUAUUUCCUCCCGUUUACUGCCCAAUUCGGGACGGAUCGAGGCGGGAGCUCCACCAACGUGGAUCCGUUUGCAUCCCUAACCCUAAGACUCCUAAAAUUCUAAAACCCAAAAAAAACCCUAAAUCCCAAAACGCUAACAACCCUAAAAACCUAAAACCCAAAAAAAUCCUAAAAGCCCAAUAUCCUAAAACCCUAGCACCCUAAACCCUAAAACCCCUAAAAUUCUAAAUCCCUAAUAUUCUAAAACCCGAAAAAAACCCUAAACUCUAAAACCCCUAAAAUCCUAAAACCUUAAAUCCCUAAAAUCCUAAACCCUAAACCCUAUAAUUCUAUACUCUAAACCCUAAAAUACUUCAUGGGCGAAACAGGCAAACAACCAAAAUUUAAACGGAGUUAAUUAAC